GGCUCUGACUGCUUAUUGCACCACAUGUGUUUUUCUUUGAAACAAACUUGCUUUGGCGGUGGGCCCAGCCUGCCGCCAGAGGUCUAAACUUACAACCAAUUUUUUAUCAACUUGUCACACCAGAUUAUUACUAAUAGUCAAAACUUUCAACAACGGAUCUCUUGGUUCUCGCAUCGAUGAAGAACGCAGCGAAAUGCGAUACGUAAUAUGAAUUGCAGAUAUUCGUGAAUCAUCGAAUCUUUGAACGCACAUUGCGCCCUCUGGUAUUCCGGAGGGCAUGCCUGUUUGAGCGUCGUUUCUCCCUCAAACCGCUGGGUUUGGUGUUGAGCAAUACGACUUGGGUUUGCUUGAAAGACGGUAGUGGUAAGGCGGGAUCGCUUUGACAAUGGCUUAGGUCUAACCAAAAACAUUGCUUGCGGCGGUAACGUCUACCACGUAUAUCUUCAAACUUUGACCUCAAAUCAGGUAGGACUACCCGCUGAACUUAAGCAUAUCAAUAAGCGGGAGGAA
rnacentral:rRNA from 1 species